UGCAAUUUACCUUAUAUGAACUCUAGGUACAACUACAAACAUAUUUUGACGGUACAAUAUUUGUACUUUCCCAGCUAAAAUGUGUUAUGUCUAACAUUUCUGUGUUUUAAAAUACUAAUGUUCUCCUAAUGGUUCAAUGGUAGUUUCUGUAGCUAAGGGUACAGAGAAUUAGAAAGCUUUUAUAUUGCAAACACUACACUUGGUAUCCAAAGUACCUAACCUACAGUGCAUAAAAAAUGUGCUUUUUCAAAAUGUACCAUAUAAUCUGGUAGUCUUUUUAAAAUAUAUUUACCAA